UACGGAGGGGGCUAGCGUUAAUCGGAAUUACUGGGCGUAAAGCGUGCGCAGGCGGUUUUGUAAGCCAGAUGUGAAAUCCCCGAGCUUAACUUGGGAACUGCAUUUGGGACUGCAAGGCUAGAGUACGGCAGAGGGGGUAGAAUUCCUGGUGUAGCAGUGAAAUGCGUAGAUAUCAGGAGGAAUACCGAUGGCGAAGGCAGCCCCCUGGGUCGAUACUGACGCUCAUGCACGAAAGCGUGGGGAGCAAACAGG
rnacentral:rRNA from 1 species